CAGCCGCCGCGGUAAUACCAGCAGCCCAAGUGGUGGUCGCGAUUAUUGGGCCUAAAGCGCUCGUAGCCGGGCCGGUAAGUCCCUUGUGAAAUCGGACGGCCUAACCGUUCGGCGUGCAAGGGAUACUGUCGGUCUUGAGGCCGGGGGACGUCCGAGGUACUCCGGGGGUAGCGGUGAAAUGUUCUGAUCCUCGGGGGACCACCGGUGGCGAAGGCGUUCGACGAGAACGGGCCUGACGGUGAGGGGCGAAGGCUAGGGGAGCAAACGGGAUUAGAUACCCCCGUAGUCCCUGUCUCUUAUA
rnacentral:rRNA from 1 species